ensembl:misc_RNA 7SK 7SK RNA
GGAUGAGAGGGUAAUCUGGGUGCGACAUCUGUCACCCCAUUGAUUGCCAGGGUUGAUUGGGCCGAUCUGGCUGGCUAGGUGGGUGUCCUCUUCCUCCCUCAGUGCUGUGUGUGUGUCCCUCCCAGAGUUGCACGCUCAGUUGAAGAGGACGGCCUUCCCCGAAUAGAGACAGAACAGGCCUCAGUCCAGGGUAUAUGAGUAGCUAUACUUCCCUGCCAGAACCCUGAACCAAGUUCUAUACACAACCCCAAAACACUUCAGGGAAGGAGCCAAACAUCAGAGUCAAAGGCAAAUGCAUUUUUGCAUUAACUC